CUUCGCGCGUAGGUCCGGGCCCGCUGCCCCGGACCCUACCCCACCCGAGCCGUGGAGGGCCACCAGGAGGCUAGGGCUGGGCGGCGCUGCCCUGGACGUGUUCGCGGCCGUCCUCCGCAGGCUCGACCACGUUGAGAUCCUCAUGGGGCCUGCGCAGGUGUACCGCUCCUGGCGCCGAGCCACGCGUGACUACCCCAAGCUCCUCAGCGAACAGUGAGAAUGCAAUCCCACACCCCAGCCUCCCUGUUCUAGGAUUUUAAAGUUCCGUUCUGAUUUUCCUUUGUUGCGAGUAUACAACAUCUACUUUCCUCUGCCUGUCAGCUGUUAGGUGAAAUGUCUCAAAUGUAACCUGUUGUGAACAAUUCAUUUUCUAAUAGUUGAAAUUCUACAGGAGCAGAAGUGGAUCAUAGCUGUUGUUUAUGGUGCCUGUAUAUGCCUUUGAAUCUGUAAGUACAAGCUCCACUUGUUCAUAUGUCUAUUUGAGGCAGCGACAUGCUACUAGUACUAGGUUUGUACUCAACAACAAACUAUUUUGACAAAAUGCGAAGUGUAAUUUUACUGCUUCUCGAGCAAACUAUGCUGGUAGAGUUGUUGAUUAUCUUGGCAUGAUAAACUGAACUUUCUUAUCCUGCAUUUCUAUACUAUAAAAUCGAACAUUUCUUUCAGUAUGAGCAUCUCUAAAUCUGUCACUUAUGUCUGCAAAGUUGUGCUCUGUAGUUAGCUUUGUAUUGGACUAAUCUGUUUAGUACAAUACAAAAACAUAUAUCACAUAGGGAUGAACCUGAAGUUUACUGACAGAUGUUUCAACUAAUUUUGUAGUCAUACAAAUUGUAUGUCUUGCUAUUACUUAUGCACUCUUAUGAAUAGGUAUAUGUGAAACUUCUGUGCACUAGUUCAAGGUUACUUUUUACAAUGACUAUCCUCAUCUUUAAUUGUUUAUGGGAAAUACUAGCAGGGUUUCUACCCUUUCUUUCCCCUAAUGACUGAUGGCAGUUGGUGCCAUAAUUUGGCUACCCCAAGACAAAUAUGCAACACUAUAUUCAAUUGUCUCACUCAUUAUCAUUACAGAAAGUGCUCACUGCUCUCAUCUCAAUAUUUUUACACAUCUCCAUAUACUUUAUUAUGUGUUUACUAUUUUAUGUUUAACAUUUAGGCAGUAGCACAUCUCCAUAUAUUUAUUGUAAGUUUAUUUCAAAUUGAGGAAGCUGAACUGAGCAUUAUGAAAUUGUAUGCUGAUUCCUAAUGAUAUAUAUCAAGAAGGCGUAAUUGUAAGAGAGACAUGAUGGGUGCAACUUGGAGUAGCAUGUGAGCUCAUAUGCAUUGCUGAAGAAUCUUUUUACGUUUGUGUUAAGUAGAUCAAGUCCUGUCAGAUUGAUUCAAUAGUUUUCAACUGAGUUGAUUGUAACUUGCUACUGGAAUAUCUAUGAAUAUUUCUGCUCAUUAAAAUUACUACAUAUCAGCAACAAUGUAUUUGUUUUCUAUACCACAUGUUGUUCCUGUAAUAUUAUUGGAAGAAUAAUGGUAUGUUGCCAGUCACUACCUUGAUCAAUGGAACUUGAUAUGGACCGGAUGUUUGAUGGAUGCAA